UUUGUAGAAUGCAAUAGCAGUGACAGAGAGGGACAGCAUGUACAAGUAGGGAGAAUAGGUUGACAGUUGUUAUUGAACCACCGCCGAAGACGGGCGAAUAAAUAUUACACCGAACCAGAA